rnacentral:rRNA from 1 species
UGGCUCAGAUUGAACGCUGGCGGCAUGCUUUACACAUGCAAGUCGAACGGCAGCACGGGGGCAACCCUGGUGGCGAGUGGCGAACGGGUGAGUAAUAUAUCGGAACAUAUCCGGAAGUGGGGGAUAACGUACCGAAAGGUACGCUAAUACCGCAUAUGCCCUGAGGGGGAAAGGGGGGGAUCGCAAGACCUCUCGCUUUCGGAGUGGCCGAUAUCGGAUUAGCUAGUUGGUGAGGUAAAGGCUCACCAAGGCGACGAUCCGUAGCUGGUCUGAGAGGACGACCAGCCACACUGGAACUGAGACACGGUCCAGACUCCUACGGGAGGCAGCAGUGGGGAAUUUUGGACAAUGGGCGAAAGCCUGAUCCAGCCAUGCCGCGUGAGUGAAGAAGGCCUUCGGGUUGUAAAGCUCUUUCAGCCGGAAAGAAAUUGCUUCUAUUAAUACUAGGAGUAGAUGACGGUACCGGAAGAAGAAGCACCGGCUAACUACGUGCCAGCAGCCGCGGUAAUACGUAGGGUGCGAGCGUUAAUCGGAAUUACUGGGCGUAAAGCGUGCGCAGGCGGUUUUGUAAGACAGACGUGAAAUCCCCGGGCUUAACCUGGGAACUGCGUUUGUGACUGCAAGACUAGAGUGUAGCAGAGGGGGGUAGAAUUCCACGUGUAGCAGUGAAAUGCGUAGAUAUGUGGAGGAAUACCAAUGGCGAAGGCAGCCCCCUGGGUUAACACUGACGCUCAUGCACGAAAGCGUGGGGAGCAAACAGGAUUAGAUACCCUGGUAGUCCACGCCCUAAACGAUGUCAACUAGGUGUUGGGGAAGGAGACUUCUUUAGUA